GGAGCUUGCUCCACCGGAAAAAGAAGAGUGGCGAACGGGUGAGUAACACGUGGGUAACCUGCCCAUCAGAAGGGGAUAACACUUGGAAACAGGUGCUAAUACCGUAUAACAAUCGAAACCGCAUGGUUUUGAUUUGAAAGGCGCUUUCGGGUGUCGCUGAUGGAUGGACCCGCGGUGCAUUAGCUAGUUGGUGAGGUAACGGCUCACCAAGGCCACGAUGCAUAGCCGACCUGAGAGGGUGAUCGGCCACAUUGGGACUGAGACACGGCCCAAACUCCUACGGGAGGCAGCAGUAGGGAAUCUUCGGCAAUGGACGAAAGUCUGACCGAGCAACGCCGCGUGAGUGAAGAAGGUUUUCGGAUCGUAAAACUCUGUUGUUAGAGAAGAACAAGGAUGAGAGUAACUGUUCAUCCCUUGACGGUAUCUAACCAGAAAGCCACGGCUAACUACGUGCCAGCAGCCGCGGUAAUACGUAGGUGGCAAGCGUUGUCCGGAUUUAUUGGGCGUAAAGCGAGCGCAGGCGGUUUCUUAAGUCUGAUGUGAAAGCCCCCGGCUCAACCGGGGAGGGUCAUUGGAAACUGGGAGACUUGAGUGCAGAAGAGGAGAGUGGAAUUCCAUGUGUAGCGGUGAAAUGCGUAGAUAUAUGGAGGAACACCAGUGGCGAAGGCGGCUCUCUGGUCUGUAACUGACGCUGAGGCUCGAAAGCGUGGGGAGCAAACAGGAUUAGAUACCCUGGUAGUCCACGCCGUAAACGAUGAGUGCUAAGUGUUGGAGGGUUUCCGCCCUUCAGUGCUGCAGCUAACGCAUUAAGCACUCCGCCUGGGGAGUACGACCGCAAGGUUGAAACUCAAAGGAAUUGACGGGGGCCCGCACAAGCGGUGGAGCAUGUGGUUUAAUUCGAAGCAACGCGAAGAACCUUACCAGGUCUUGACAUCCUUUGACCACUCUAGAGAUAGAGCUUCCCCUUCGGGGGCAAAGUGACAGGUGGUGCAUGGUUGUCGUCAGCUCGUGUCGUGAGAUGUUGGGUUAAGUCCCGCAACGAGCGCAACCCUUAUUGUUAGUUGCCAUCAUUUAGUUGGGCACUCUAGCAAGACUGCCGGUGACAAACCGGAGGAAGGUGGGGAUGACGUCAAAUCAUCAUGCCCCUUAUGACCUGGGCUACACACGUGCUACAAUGGGAAGUACAACGAGUCGCGAAGUCGCGAGGCUAAGCUAAUCUCUUAAAGCUUCUCUCAGUUCGGAUUGUAGGCUGCAACUCGCCUACAUGAAGCCGGAAUCGCUAGUAAUCGCGGAUCAGCACGCCGCGGUGAAUACGUUCCCGGGCCUUGUACACACCGCCCGUCACACCACGAGAGUUUGUAACACCCGAAGUCGGUGAGGUAACCUU
rnacentral:rRNA from 1 species